rnacentral:rRNA from 1 species
CCACACGACUCUCGGCAACGGAUAUCUCGGCUCUCGCAUCGAUGAAGAACGUAGCGAAAUGCGAUACCUGGUGUGAAUUGCAGAAUCCCGCGAACCAUCGAGUCUUUGAACGCAAGUUGCGCCCGAGGCCACCCGGCUGAGGGCACGCCUGCCUGGGCGUCAC